UAUUCCAUCCAUUCAAUAAGGCCUGCCUAAUUUUAUGCCUUUGAAAGUAACCAUGAAUUUGAUGUUUGUCCUGCCACAAAAAGGCAUGCCACCCUGCCUAUAAAUUAUAUCCUUCUAAUGUUAAUAUUCUUUUGUUUUUAACACUUAUCCAAUCUUUAACCCAGAUCAGAAUGGCCGCUCUGCAAUAUAUUUCCCAAUCUGGUAGGCCAAGUCCUCCUCUUUUAGUAGCGUCCUGCAACAAUUUCAGUCUAAUUCUGGGC